GACUAAUCGAUGAAAAAGGCACUGCAUGCCUUGUGGCCCCCACAGCCGCUCCAGCCACGCGUGCGCCUCCGCUGCUGGUCGCAUGCCACGGUGAGCAGCCACUCAAGGAAAUGCCUCGUGAGUGUGGGGCUCGGCUGCCACUCCUCCGGACUUCCAAAUCCACUACUGGAGCCCCAAUGGCUGCCGCCGGAGAUCUCAAGUCAGAGUACCGCCAGGUCCAGCUCAACCGCCGCCACGAACACCGAGCUUGUUGCGACCCAGUCCUAGUGCCUCUGGCCAUGGAGCAAGGGAGUCCGGUGAAGGAGCUAUUGUACCAUGGCAACGGUCAUGUGUCUCAGAAAGAUCAGGAUCCUCCAUCCAUCUGAGCAAACACAGUCCACCUUCCAGAUCGAAGUUAUUCUGUCGAUUCUGCUAUUUUUUUCAAGACAUGGAGUCGUGCCCGAGGAAAAAGGUGGAGACCUUCGAGGAGAAGCCGAUUGAAGAAAAUUUCUACUUGUGUACUGAGGUGUCAAGUGGAUACAGUGCACAUUGCACACUACUUGCAUCUUCGCAGUUGAAAUUGAGCUCAGUGAAAACUAACUACAUUUGAGCAGUCCAAAAGGUAAUAGAGGAGAAAUAAUAGUAGUCUGUGUUUUGUUAGGUGCGUGUUUCAUGUCAAUGCUUGUCAUAUACAAAUACAUAUUGGUAUUGCAUACAUGUGCUUCAGUUAGCACAUUUGCUCCCAUGUUACCACUUGCCACUCAGACCAUGUGUCUUGGACUCUUGGUCCUUGAGUGCAAAGGAAAAAAGGACACAAUUCAUCAAAUUGUAGUCCUGAAGCAAGUAUACUCUUUGCUAUAGAAAGUUCAUCAAUUUUUCUUCAGUCCACAAUGUCAAAAGAAAAUAUAGCGACACAUAAGCCUGAAAUUAUCAUAACUGUCUUAAACAUAUUGGAAUAUAUUGAAACAUACCACUAUACCAAGCCUUGUUCUGUCAACAACAAGGACAUAGAAAGAUGUUCCUUCAUUAUGUAAUAACUGAAACAUAUCAGCGUCACUCUAUAUUCCUAAACAAAUAGUUCCUAAAUUCAGUAAUAACCGUUACUCUUAAAUCAAGAAUAUUGAUUAAGAUAGUACGUAUCUAGCUUCUACCACUGGGUAGCAAAAAAGGAGUGCAGAUAUUAGCAUGAACCCAGGACUAUACCCUCAUAUUUCCCUGAUCUGUAGGUAGCUCUCUUGUCAACCCAUUAUAUUUUGAGUCACAAAUAUUUUCAAGCAUCAAGUAAUUAUUAGUUUCACUAGUACAUAGUACAGUAGUAAGUAGCCAGCGGUAGUGCAUGGCGGCACGCCACGCCAUUAAUGAACUAUUUAGUUUUUUAACAAUAUUUGAUGAGACGUCCCAAGACUUUAUUCAUGGAAAAGUAACUCAUACAAGAAAAUGGUACAUCUAGUCAGCCAUAGUAAGCCAAUAGCAAUAAACCAGUCACCCAUAGUUCAAAGGAGUCUUGUGGCAUUGUCACAAAGUACUCAUUUACUCUUAGAAAAAUGACACUGUAUUUUUUUAAUAUUAGAAAUUAGCUGAUCCGACCUCAUGGACCAAGUGUUCAACAUGCAGCUGCUUACAUACACUGAGAAUACACAUAUACUACAUACUGCAUAGCUCACAACCAUUGAUGAGUGUUGUCACCACCCAGAUCAGUAGCAGCAAUAAACAAUCCUCAUUGGCCAUAAAUAAAAUAAAACAAAACAAAAACAUAAAAUAAAAUAAAAAAUCCUGCAUAGUCCACCCAUUGUCGCAUGCAAACUUGUCAUAUUUUUUUCUGAACCAAACCACCUAUUAAUGAUGAAACUCCUCACAUAGAUGUAUCCCUACAAAUACUAAAUCGAACUUAAGCCAUAUAUAGAAAGUCACUAAGACCAAUUGACAUGCAACCAGCCAAUAUGAGAAAAGAAACACAGGUCAAGAAACCAUUAGUCAGUGGGAAUCGAAAUGAAAGCCUAUGCAGUCAUUAAUUGGCUCUCAGGAGGCCCAAAUGCAACUUGCAUGUAGAUGAAUGAAGCGAGAUAGAUAGCAAGUCCUAAGUUAUAAACGUGUAAGAUUAUGAAGUUUUUCAUAUCAGUUCAUUUUUAGAUAUAUGCAAGAAGUUUUGUGGGUAAGAAAGUUUUCAGUAA